CCUGAGGGCAACCACACCUUGCCAUGUAGAGCACCUGGCUUCUCACUUGCCAACAUCACUCUGACCUGGCUGCAGGAAGGGGAGGAGCCAACUCUGGACUCAAGACUCAAGGGGACCAGACCCAGGAAGAUGAGACAUAUCAGGGCUGGGCAGCUGUGGGGGGCCCUCCCAGAGAAGGCCUGAGAUACACCUGCCUGCAGGUGCUCCUGGGCCUGGAGAAGCCCCUCAGUGUG
rnacentral:lncRNA from 1 species